UACGUAGGGUGCAAGCGUUGUCCGGAAUUAUUGGGCGUAAAGAGCUCGUAGGCGGUUCGUCGCGUCGGUCUGUGAAAACCUGAGGCUCAACCUCAGGCCUGCAGUCGAUACGGGCGGACUUGAGUACUGCAGGGGAGACUGGAAUUCUGGUGUAGCGGUGAAAUGCGCAGAUAUCAGGAGGAACACCGGUGGCGAAGGCGGGUCUCU
rnacentral:rRNA from 1 species